rnacentral:rRNA from 1 species
UGGGGAAUAUUGCACAAUGGGCGAAAGCCUGAUGCAGCAACGCCGCGUGAGUGAUGAAGGUCUUCGGAUUGUAAAGCUCUGUCUUUUGGGACGAUAAUGACGGUACCAAAGGAGGAAGCCACGGCUAACUACGUGCCAGCGCCGCGGUAAUACGUAGGUGGCGAGCGUUGUCCGGAUUUACUGGGCGUAAAGGGUGCGUAGGCGGAUGUUUAAGUGAGAUGUGAAAUACCCGGGCUUAACUUGGGUGCUGCAUUUCAAACUGGAUAUCUAGAGUGCAGGAGAGGAGAAUGGAAUUCCUAGUGUAGCGGUGAAAUGCGUAGAGAUUAGGAAGAACACCAGUGGCGAAGGCGAUUCUCUGGACUGUAACUGACGCUGAGGCACGAAAGCGUGGGUAGCAAACAGGAUUAGAUACCCUGGUAGUCCACGCC